rnacentral:rRNA from 1 species
AUUGAACGCUGGCGGCAGGCCUAACACAUGCAAGUCGAGCGGAUGAAGGGAGCUUGCUCCUGGAUUCAGCGGCGGACGGGUGAGUAAUGCCUAGGAAUCUGCCUGGUAGUGGGGGAUAACGUCCGGAAACGGGCGCUAAUACCGCAUACGUCCUGAGGGAGAAAGUGGGGGAUCUUCGGACCUCACGCUAUCAGAUGAGCCUAGGUCGGAUUAGCUAGUUGGUGGGGUAAAGGCCUACCAAGGCGACGAUCCGUAACUGGUCUGAGAGGAUGAUCAGUCACACUGGAACUGAGACACGGUCCAGACUCCUACGGGAGGCAGCAGUGGGGAAUAUUGGACAAUGGGCGAAAGCCUGAUCCAGCCAUGCCGCGUGUGUGAUGAAGGUCUUCGGAUUGUAAAGCACUUUAAGUUGGGAGGAAGGGCAGUAAGUUAAUACCUUGCUGUUUUGACGGUACCAACAGAAUAAGCACCGGCUAACUUCGUG